rnacentral:rRNA from 1 species
UACGUAGGGGGCAAGCGUUGUCCGGAUUUAUUGGGCGUAAAGAGCGUGUAGGCGGCUUUACAGGUCCGUUGUGAAAACUCGAGGCUCAACCUCGAGACGCCGGUGGAAACCGUAAAGCUAGAGUCCGGAAGAGGAGAGUGGAAUUCCUGGUGUAGCGGUGAAAUGCGCAGAUAUCAGGAGGAACACCCGUGGCGAAGGCGGCUCACUGGCCCGGAACUGACGCUGAGACGCGAAAGCGUGGGGAGCAAACAGG